GCAAGUCGAACGGUAUUUUUCAGAUGGAAGCUUCGGUGGAAAUUUGAAAGAGAGAGUGGCAAACGGGUGCGUAACACGUGAGCAACCUGCCCUAAAGACCGGAAUAGCUCGGGGAAACUCGAAUUAAUGCCGGAUGUGGCACGAAGAGGCAUCUCUUCAGUGCUAAAGCUCGAAAAGGCGCUUUAGGAGGGGCUCGCGGCCUAUCAGCUUGUUGGUGGGGUAAAGGCCUACCAAGGCAAAGACGGGUAGCUGGUCUGAGAGGAUGAUC
rnacentral:rRNA from 1 species